rnacentral:rRNA from 1 species
UAAGACGAACCGUGCGAACGUUAUUCGGAAUCACUGGGCUUAAAGCGCGUGUAGGCGGGGUGGCACGUCGGAUGCUGAAAGCCCCCGGCUCAACCGGGGAAGGGGCACCGAUACGACCGCCCUCGAGGGGCGUAGGGGGAGCUGGAACUUCCGGUGGAGCGGUGAAAUGCGUUGAGAUCGGAAGGAACGCCCGUGGCGAAAGCGAGCUCCUGGACGCCAACUGACGCUGAGACGCGAAAGCCAGGGGAGCGAACGGG